rnacentral:SRP_RNA from 1 species
GCCGGGUGUGAUGGCUCACACCUGUAAUCCCAGCACUUUGGGAGGCUGAGGUGGGUGGAUCACCUGAGGUCAGGAGUUCGAGCCCAGCCUGACCAACAUGGUGAAACCCCAUCUCUA